rnacentral:lncRNA from 1 species
ACUUACUUACAUAUAUACGACUGUUAUUUCGUCUACUAUCGAUCGAUUCAUGCUGUCAAAGUAACGCGACGCGUUCGAUUAAAAGGAAGCCGAGAUAACAACACUCGACAAGAGUUCCGCGAUCGAAACGCAAGCAUUUUAGUUAGAUACGCUUGCCUUUUCCGAGCCGACGCAACGCGACGACUCGUAUUCGAUUUACCGAAUUAUCGAUCCAUCUUUGUCGAGUAACAAUCGAAAUCUUUCAUAAACGGAACGGAAAUUCAGUUAGGUUUGAACGCUAGGUAUAAUUUAGAACAACUGAUACUCUGCUUUCUUUUUCUUUUUACCGCUUGGUAGUUUACAUGGCUUCGUAAAGCCGUGUAACCGGGUUCUUAGAAAUUGUUUCCUCUUCCUCGAGAACUUAUACUAUCGAUACUAUCUAUCCCAUCUCUUAAAUCUUUUCCACUCGUGAUAAAAUAGAUUCGCUACUUUGAAACUCGAUUGAUAAUCGAAUAAUCGUGAAAUUAGAACCGAUUGAGCGAAGCUUUCUCGUGCGCGAAUCACUGUAAAUGUGUAUAUAGAGACGAGCAAUGAAACAGUGGAGUGUGGAGGGAGAAAGACGAGAGUGAGAGAGAGAGAGAGAAAGGACACAAAAAGAGAAAGAGAGGGGGAUAGAGAGAGAAGUACGAAAAAGGUUUACUUGUAGAGCAUAGGAUCGGGUCGAAGAACACGGGGGUGGGCAGCCAGCUGAUUCGGGCGAGUUCGUGAACGACCGUAAUCGAAGCGCGAGGAAACGAGAGGCGAGGUAGCGCAGCAGCGCACGUCCGAUGCAGUCUGCCGCGACCACCGGGAAACCAGCUGACUGGUCGGUUCGGUCACGUUCGCUAGGUCGUUCGGCAGUCUUCGGAUCUUUGUUCGUCUCUGUGCACGAGGCUACCGGCAAGCGACAAACCUUUCCGUCAGUCGCCGUUUCGACACUGUUGAAGAAUUGUACGUACGCGCAAGUUUCUUACUUCUUCGACAAAAAUCGACGUUAUUACGUAUACGUGGUUCGAAUUGCAUGAUUAAUCAUCUCAUCGUUGAAUCAAUCAACCGAUCCGACUGAUUACUCGUUAAGUCAAAGGAACAAGUAAGAAGGAAAGGACGCGAUUAGCGUCGUCGCGCUGUCUGCUUGUUACCGGUAGUUCGCUUCCAUCUCUGUGCACCCCGCUAUCGCUUAUUCCUCCCCAUCUUACACUCACUAGAUGAUACUCCCUUUUUUCUCGUUUAUUCUCUGUCUCUAUUUUUCUCUUUUUUUCUCCAUUUCUUCGUAUAAAAGCGGCCUCUAUCUGUCCAACUCAUUUUUUGCUUCUCGCUUUUUUUUUACAACUUCUCCUCGCUCGCGUCACUUUCACGUAGUUCAGAAAAGACGCGAAAAAAAUCGAAUCGUCGAUUACGAGGAUACGAAUUUGAAUUGUGGAAUGAAAACAAUCCAUUAUGUGUUUUUAUUUUUGCUCAUUCUCGGCCGGGACGACGCAAUGUUGUAUUUGAAGUGAGAAAUGAUCGUGUUUUAAGCAAAGGAAAGCAAGGAAAGAGACAAAAUAGGAAGAUAAAAGAAGAAAGGGAAAGGAAGGAAAGAAGAGAAAAGUAUAUAGAUUGCAAGUGUAGAGCGCUAUGAAAUCCGAUCUGUACGAUAGGACAAUUCCAUGUUAAAGUCGAAUCGUUAUGAAUCGAAAUUCGUUGGGUGUUCGGCUUCUCCGUCGACGAUCAUCAAUUUCGACAUCGAUAUUGGCACCGGCGUCGGCAUCGUAUCUCCAUCCUCGUCUCAUCGUCGUCGUUGCUGCCGCUGCUACUGCUGUCG